rnacentral:rRNA from 1 species
UUAAUUUGCCAUACCACACUGAAUGUGCCUGAUCUCAUCUAAUCUCCAAAGAUAAGCAGGGUCAGGCCUGGUUAGUACUUGGAUGGGAGACAACUGUUUUUUUCCUACAUGAAUGAAUUAUA